ACGAACGCUGGCGGCGUGGAUAAGACAUGCAAGUCGAACGCUUAUUCCAGGGUAGCAAUAUUCUGGAGUGGGAGUGGCGCAAGGGUGCGUAACACGUGGGUAAUUUGCCGCGAAGUUGGGGAUAACUCGCUGAAAAGGCGAGCUAAUACCCGAUGUGGUUGACUGGUGGCAUCAUUGGUCAACGGAAGUUGGGGACCCGCAAGGGCCUGACGCUUUGCGAUAAGCCCGCGGCCUAUCAGCUAGUUGGCGAGGUAACGGCUCACCAAGGCAAAGACGGGUAGCUGGUCUGAGAGGACGACCAGCCACACUGGAAACUGAGAGACGGUCCAGACACCUACGGGUGGCAGCAGUCGAGAAUUUUUCACAAUGGGCGCAAGGCCUGAUGGAGCGACGGCCGCGUGGGGGAUGAAGGGCUUCGGCUCGUAAACCCCUGUCAUUUGCGAACAAACCUUUAGAGUGAACAGCUCUAGAGUUGAUUGUAGUGAAAGAGGAAGGGACGGCUAACUCUGUGCCAGCAGCCGCGGUAAUACAGAGGUCCCGAGCGUUGUUCGGAUUCACUGGGCGUAAAGGGUGCGUAGGUGGUGGGGUAAGUCCUCGUGUGAAAGCUCGCAGCUCAACUGCGAAAAGUCACGGGAUACUAUUCCGCUGGAGGCUUGGAGGGGGGACUGGAAUACUUGGUGUAGCAGUGAAAUGCGUAGAUAUCAAGUGGAACACCAGUGGCGAAGGCGAGUCCCUGGACAAGACCUGACACUGAGGCACGAAAGCCAGGGGAGCAAACAGGAUUAGAUACCCUGGUAGUCCUGGCUGUAAACGGUGCACGUUUGCUGUAAAAGGAAUCGACCCCUUUUUGUGGCGAAGCCUAACGCGCUAAAAACGUGCCGCCUGGGAAGUACGGUCGCAAGAUUAAAACUCAAAGAAAUUGACGGGGGCCUGCCACAAGCGGUGGAGUAUGUGGCUUAAUUCGAUGCAACGCGAAGAAACCUUACCUGGCCUUGACAUGCACGUGGUAGGACCAUGAAAAGUGGGACGACCCCGCAAGGGGAGCGUGCACAGGUGCUGCAUGGCUGUCGUCAGCUCGUGUCGUGAGAUGUUGGGUUAAGUCCCCGCAACGAGCGCAACCCCUAUGUUCAGUUGCGAACCCCGGUCGAGAGGCUGGAGCACUCUGGACAGACUUGCCUCGCUUCAACGAGGAGGAAGGUGGGGAUGACGUCAAGUCAGGAUGGCCCUUACGGCCAGGGCUGCACACGUACUACAAUGCCCGGCACAAAGGGAAGCAAAAACCGACAGGUGGAGCAAAUCCCUCAAAAAACCGGGCUCAGUUCAGAUUGAGGUCUGCCAACUCGACCUCAUGAAGCUGGAAUCGCUAGUAAUGGCGCAUCAGCUACGGCGCCGUGAAUACGUUCCCAGGCCUUGUACACACCGCCCGUCACAUCAUGAAAGCCGCUUGUACCCGAAGUCGCCGGAGCUAACCUCAAAAGGGAAGCAGGUGCCGAAGGUAUGGGUGGUGAUUGGGAUG
rnacentral:rRNA from 1 species